UACGUAGGGGGCAAGCGUUGUCCGGAUUUACUGGGUGUAAAGGGCGCGUAGGCGGGUUGGCAAGUCAGAGGUGAAAUCCUACAGCUUAACUGUAGAACUGCCUUUGAUACUGCUGAUCUUGAGUGCGGAAGAGAGAGACGGAAUUCCAGGUGUAGUGGUGAAAUACGUAGAUAUCUGGAAGAACACCAGUUGCGAAGGCGGUCUCUUGGUCCGUAACUGACGCUCAGGCGCGAAAGCGUGGGGAGCAAACAGG
rnacentral:rRNA from 1 species